UACGUAGGGUGCGAGCGUUGUCCGGAAUUAUUGGGCGUAAAGGGCUCGUAGGCGGUUUGUCGCGUCGGGAGUGAAAACCAGGUGCUUAACACCUGGCUUGCUUUCGAUACGGGCAGACUAGAGGUAUGCAGGGGAGAACGGAAUUCCUGGUGUAGCGGUGAAAUGCGCAGAUAUCAGGAGGAACACCGGUGGCGAAGGCGGGGUCCUGGGCCAGUACUGACGCUGAGGAGCGAAAGCGUGGGGAGCAAACAGG
rnacentral:rRNA from 1 species